rnacentral:rRNA from 1 species
UCGGGAAUUUUGGGCAAUGGGCGAAAGCCUGACCCAGCAACGCCGCGUGAAGGAUGAAGUAUUUCGGUAUGUAAACUUCGUAAGAAUAGGAAGAAUAAAUGACGGUACUAUUUGUAAGGUCCGGCUAACUACGUGCCAGCAGCCGCGGUAAUACGUAGGGACCAAGCGUUGUUCGGAUUUACUGGGCGUAAAGGGCGCGUAGGCGGUUUGUCAAGUCAGUUGUGAAAUCUCCGAGCUUAACUCGGAACGGUCAACUGAUACUGUCAAACUAGAGUACAGAAGGGGCAAUCGGAAUUCUUGGUGUAGCGGUGAAAUGCGUAGAUAUCAAGAGGAACACCUGAGGCGAAGGCGGGUUGCUGGGCUGAUACUGACGCUGAAGCGCGAAAGCGUGGGGAGCAAACAGGAUUAGAUACCCUGGUAGUCCCUGAGCGGGCUGGCAAGGCGCAU